AAGUAGUUGCUCGGUAGAUUUUCUGGAUGGAUGGAAAUCUAGAUGAAUAGAUUGAUGAAAAGAAGGGAUGGGUUGGUGGGUGGAUGUUUGGAUGAUGGAAGAACAGAUGAUCCAGUAGGAAGUAAGAAUAACUGCAGGAAUGAGAAAGUUGUGCUCCAUAAAUAUUUUCUGGAUAAUUGGAUGCACGGAUACGUUGGUGGCUGGGUGCAAUGAUGGGCGAAAAAGAAUACUUGAUUGGAGGUAAGCCUGGAUGAAGAGCCUCAAGUGGAGGGUUAGAAUUUCAGCUCCUCUUCCCCAGGGGGCGCUGCGGGGCCACUCGCACGGGCCUGGCCUGGCAGAGAGGCGCCGCUCUAGGCUGUAGCCGACGCGAGGCCGCAGUUCCGCAGAGACUGCGGAGCGAGAACUCAGUCCUCCUGCUCCGUCCCGGUCUACAGCCUGUACUCAUGCUGUGCUCUGUGUACCCUGCUGCCUUCCGUCCCGGCAUCCGGCUAAGUCACUCAGGGCGUGCUCUGCGCAAGGCUCCCAAACCUUGCUGUUGAGCCCAAUGGAAACUACCCUGUGGCGGCGCUGCCGGUUCUGCAACAGCCAGCGCCCCCGCUCUCCCCGCCCCACGGACCGGAUGUCCCGAGGUGACAACUUGGUGUAAAUGGGUCAUGAGAGGUGUCCAUCUUGCCAGGAAGCAGCUGGACCAUGGUGCUCCCGAGUGAGGUGUCCCGGGAGUUGUCCUGUCAGGAACACCUUAGACCCCAGUGUCAUUGAGGGCCUAUGGCGAGGCAGAAAUGUCAUUGGCAGAAGGCCUGGUGGAGGAAAGCUGCUUACUUCAUCACAGCCAAGAAGCAGAGAAAGAAAGAAAAAGCCAUGGGGAGGACUUUGAGGUUGAGGUGAGCAAGAGCUCCCAAGUCCUGCUGGGUAGACUGAUGGGCAGGCCAGUAAUGACAGCAAGAAGGAUGGCAGCUAGGGUGGUCCUUUGGGACCUCGAUGGGAGGAGCUCUAAGGGUGAGCUCUUAUGGGAGGAAGGAGUAGGGCACAAAGUAUACCCCUCCGAGCCACACCCACAGUGACCUGUUUCAUCCAGUUAGGCCCCACCUCCUAACAAACCCAUUCAACUCAUUAAUUCAUUAGUGGAUUGAUCCACUUGAUGAUGAUCCAGACCCUUUUAAAAGCCCAUCAGCUGGCAGCCAAGGCUUCAACACAGUGAACCAUCACAUUAGCCUUUAGUGGCUCCUGUAAAAGUAAAACCUCCAGAGUAUCACUUGGGCAAUAAGAGUCUCCCAGUUGUCUGCCCUCCCUGCCUGGCUGUCUGCAGCAGCAUGCUGUAAUGCAGAAUGGGUGGAUCUGGGCAUGAGAAUCUCCUUCUGCCAGUAUCUCAAUCAAAGAUCAGCUCAACCCAAUUUUCUUGAUUUGAAAAAUAAAGUGAUAAAUAUUUUUCCAGGAUUUCUACCCAAGUUGACUUUUUUUUGAUUCCCUGUGGCAGAGAGGUUCUUUGGGGAUUUUGCCACUAUCAGAGUCCUGUGCUUCACUGGGCUGUUUUCCUGUACUCGACCCAUUCCACAGGCCACUGGCACCCCCGUCUCUUCCAGGGCCGGCCACUCUCUGGUGUGUGCACCUGCAUUCGAAAGUGAUCAUGGGCUGCCUGUGCCCUGGUCAUCAACAAAGCAGGGAGAGGAACCGCUGAAAGCCGUUUCCCGUGUUUGCAGGGUCCAGCCUGUCCCUUGCAAAUGCUGGCGCUUUCGCACACUUCUUUCCUGCCAACACAUUCCAGUUUCAAGAGCCUUAAGGGCUGCUGUGUAAGGGUCAGUGAUGGGAGACAUUUUGUCUUGCUUGGCCUCUCUAUCUAGUGAAUAAGUGAGAUGUUGGGUGAUACACAGUCAUUACCACAGGAUUUUCAAAGAGAAGUGGCCUUUUGGAAGUGGUGGGUCUGGGCAGGCCUUGGAAGGGGUGUGAUAUGAGAGAUAUUCUGAGGGGCGGGAAUCAUGUGGAGGACUUUGAGGUUGAGGGAUGCUGCGCUGGAACUGGAGAUUGCUGAAGGAAGGCCCUGGAAUAGAGGCACUGACCCUGUCAGGAUGAUGAAUGGGGUUCCUGCUCUGAAGGGAUCUCCUCAUGUUGGUUGUGGUGUUGAUUGUGGACACUGGCAUAGCAGAGUGAAGAGUGUCAUUGUCACACGACGCAUUCCAGACCUUAGUGCAGUGGCCUCAGCACAACACAGAGCACCUUUUUACUCUGCAUGAGCAAGCGGAGGGGAAGGCCUGGACUCUGAGGACUUGGGGUCCAGAGGUGGAGACCUUCCAGCUGGUUCUACCCCAUCCCAGCAGAGCCACAGAGCAUCAUAGACGGGAAGACCAGUCUUCCUUCAACUGGCCACCUCCAGUCUUGCCUACUCCUGGUGUAACUUGUAGACCCAAGAGAUCCUGGUGAAGUUUUCUAUACCCUGCACAACCUCAAUAAAUUGUCCACCUCAAUAAAUUUUGAAACAUGCUGUGCUGUGUAUUUUUUGGGUUUUGUUUGUUUACCAAAAUACCCAUGUGUACCAGCUAGGCUGGGUAUAGAGAAGGUAGUCACAGGGUGAAUCUUCCAGUUUUCACUUACUGAGAAUUCCCACUUAGCAUGCUCCUAAGUGGGAUGUGACCUAGGGAAUUUGAGGUAGGAGGUAGGAUUUGGACUAGAGGUUGAACAAUGCCACAUGCAUCUGGGGGCUCAGGCUUAGGAGAGAAGAGAACUGUUAAAACUAAGUUGCCUGAGCAACAUUUGGGCCAGGGAUUUGGAAGAGAAGAUGAUAAUGGGUGGAUGAAGAGAUGGAGAUGGUCUGAAGUCCUCAAGAAAGACAGGAGUGUUCUGAGCUUGAUGGCAAAAGUAUACCAUGCUCUGGAGUGAAUUUAGGAAAACGGUUUUGAGCAAAGGUAGGAG
rnacentral:lncRNA from 1 species